rnacentral:rRNA from 1 species
UGGGGAAUAUUGCGCAAUGGAGGAAACUCUGACGCAGCCAUGCCGCGUGAGUGAAGAAGGCCCUCGGGUUGUAAAACUCUUUCAACGGUGAAGAUGAUGACGGUAACCGUAGAAGAAGCACCGGCUAACUUCGUGCCAGCAGCCGCGGUAAUACGAAGGGUGCUAGCGUUGUUCGGAAUUACUGGGCGUAAAGGGCGCGUAGGCGGACAUGUCAGUCAGGGGUGAAAUCCCGGGGCUCAACCUCGGAACUGCCUUUGAUACUGCAUGUCUAGAAUAUAUGAGGGGAUAGUGGAAUACCAAGUGUAGAGGUGAAAUUCGUAGAUAUUUGGUGGAACACCAGUGGCGAAGGC